UGGGGAAUAUUGGACAAUGGGCGAAAGCCUGAUCCAGCCAUGCCGCGUGUGUGAAGAAGGUCUUCGGAUUGUAAAGCACUUUAAGUUGGGAGGAAGGGCAGUAAGCGAAUACCUUGCUGUUUUGACGUUACCGACAGAAUAAGCACCGGCUAACUCUGUGCCAGCAGCCGCGGUAAUACAGAGGGUGCAAGCGUUAAUCGGAAUUACUGGGCGUAAAGCGCGCGGAGGUGGUUCGUUAAGUUGAAUGUGAAAGCCCCGGGCUCAACCUGGGAACUGCAUCCAAAACUGGCGAGCUAGAGUAGGGCAGAGGGUGGUGGAAUUUCCUGUGUAGCGGUGAAAUGCGUAGAGAGAGGAAGGAACACCAGUGGCGAAGGCGACCACCUGGGCUCAUACUGACACUGUGGUGCGAAAGCGUGGGGAGCAAACAGG
rnacentral:rRNA from 1 species